rnacentral:rRNA from 1 species
GAGUUUGAUCAUGGCUCAGGAUGAACGCUAGCGGUGCGCCUAACACAUGCAAGUCGAGCGAUGAAGUUUUCUACACAGAGUCUAUCUCAUUAAAUAAAUUCCAAGAGAUUAUACAAGAAAAUACACAUUCCUUGUAAUCUCCCUCUCCUUCUAGGAGAGGGUUGGGGUGAGGUCUAUUCUGUGUAGAAAAUAGAUUAGCGGCAAACGGGUGCGUAACACGUUGAUACUUCCCCCUAAGUCAGGGAUAGCCUGGAGAAAUCCAGAUUAAUACCGGAUAGUCCCGUAAGGGUAAAGCAGCAAUGCGCUCAGGGAAAGGUCUGCGGCCUAUCAGCUAGUUGGUGAGGUAAUGGCUCACCAAGGCAAUGACGGGUAGCUGGUCUGAGAGGACGGCCAGCCACAAUGGGACUGAGACACGGCCCAUACUCCUACGGGAGGCAGCAGUGAGGAAUCUUCCACAAUGGGCGAAAGCCCGAUGGAGCGACACCGCGUGAAGGAUGAAGCCUUUGUUGGUGUAACUUCUUUUCUCUCGGAAGAUAAUGACGGUACGAGAGGAAUAAGGGGCGGCAAACUUCGUGCCAGCAGCCGCGGUAAUACGAGGGCCCCAAGCGUUAUCCGGAAUUACUGGGCGUAAAGCGUCUGUAGGUGGUUAUAAAGGUUUCGUGUGAAACUCCAGGGCUCAACCCUGGAUUGCGCGGAAAACCAUGUAACUUGAGUGUGGGAGAGGCAAGCAGAACGGUAUGAGUAGGGGUGCAAUCCGUUGAUACAUACCAGAAUACCAAAAGCGAAGGCAGCUUGCUGGAACACUACUGACACUGAGAGACGAAAGCGUGGGGAGCGAAAGGGAUUAGAUACCCCUGUAGUCCACGCCCUAAACGAUGGAUGCUAAGUGUUGGACGCAAGUCCAGUGCUUCAAGCUAACGCAUUAAGCAUCCCGCCUGAGGAGUACGGCCGCAAGGUUAAAACUCAAAUGAAUAGACGGGGACCCGCACAAGCAGUGGAUCAUGUGGUUUAAUUCGACAAUAAACGAGGAACCUCACCCGGGCUUGACAUUGAUAGAAUCCACCAGAAAUGGAGGAGUGCCCGCAAGGGAACUUGAAAACAGGCGCUGCAUGGUUGUCGUCAGCUCGUGCCUUGAGGUGUUCGGUUAAGUCCGUUAACGAGCGCAACCCACGUCGUUAGUUACUCUGUCUAACGAGACUGCUUGAGUUAAUCAAGAGGAAGGUGUGGAUGACGUCAAAUCAGCAUGGCCCUUAUGCCUAGGGCUACACACAUGAUACAAUGGUCGGUACAAACAGUCGCAAUACAGCAAUGUGGAGCCAAUCUGAAAAAGCCGAUCUCAGUCCAGAUUGGGGGCUGCAACUCGCCCCCAUGAAGUUGGAAUUGCUAGUAAUCGUGAAUCAGCUAUGUCACGGUGAAUCUGUUCCCGGGUCUUGUACUCACCGCCCGUCAAACCAUGGGAGGUGUGCGUACCUUAAGCCCUUCGAGCAAUACGGAGGUCCACGGUAAACACACUGACUGGGGUUAAGUCGUAACAAGGU